rnacentral:rRNA from 1 species
GAAGAGUGGGUGUGCCGUCCAUAGGUAGUUGGUGAGGUAACGGCUCACCAAGCCGACGAUGGGUAGGGGGCGUGAGAGCGUGACCCCCCACACGGGUACUGAGACACGGACCCG